rnacentral:rRNA from 1 species
GAUGAACGCUGGCGGCGUGCUUAACACAUGCAAGUCGAACGGAGGAUGUACGGUGAAGAGAUUUCGGUCAAAUCAUGUAUAUCCUUAGUGGCGGACGGGUGAGUAACGCGUGGGUAACCUGCCUUACACAGGGGGAUAACACUUAGAAAUAGGUGCUAAUACCGCAUGAGCGCACAGGACCGCAUGGUCGAGUGUGAAAAACUGAGGUGGUGUAAGAUGGACCCGCGUCUGAUUAGCUUGUUGGUGAGGUAACGGCCCACCAAGGCGACGAUCAGUAGCCGGCCUGAGAGGGUGAACGGCCACAUUGGGACUGAGACACGGCCCAA